rnacentral:lncRNA from 1 species
GUUUUCACUUUUCUCGUUCAGGUCAGCUGGAUUUGGAGGAACUGGUCAGCCAUGGGCUACACAGGAGGUAGAGAAGAAGCCGGCCCCACAGUGCGAAAGAGGCUGCAGGGGGAACGCAAGAGAAGGGGCAGAGUCCAGACAGGACACAUAGGCCUGGCCUCACCUGAUCUGUGGUAGGCGGCCCACAAGGGAUGGGCACGGUGCGACUUGGGAGCCAUCUGGUCUGUAAGGGAGCCCGGGUGGCCGUUCCGCCCGCUGCCCCCAUGCAUCCCUUCUACACCCGGAGACAAGCACGCUGCAGGACCGCCCCACCGCCCUGUCCUUCAUCUCCAACCUCCGCCUGGCGGGGCUCACAAGCGAACAACAGCUGCAGACCUUCAGCCAGAGGCCACUGGCAGAACACUGUAAACAUCACUGGUUCCCAGAAAAGCCGCGCAAGCGAUCAGGUUACCGUUGUGUUCUCAUCAGCCCUAAAAUGGAUCCUCUCCUUGGACCAGCAGCACAGCGGACCGGACUGGGCAGUCGGGAGCUGUCCAGGCUUCUCCCAUGUGAACUCACGCUCUGACUUGACCCCUAGGAAGUGUCCUGCAGAAUCAGAGAGGAGGCUCCACCUGUGAGCUGGGCGAAGCAGGAGGUGACCCUUGGAACAGCACCAACGUCCAAGGGGGUACACACAGCAGGGUCAGCUGUAAGGAGGAACUUCUCUUGGGCAGAGCAAACCCUUCCAAAACUACAAUAGGAGGACUGUACCGGGUCUUUGGAUGGAUCUCCUUAUAUUGGAUGGGCAAAUUUGAUUUUUGCUUUGGGGGGCUUCCUCUUGGGGAUAGAUUAUGGAAUUUAAACCAUGUCACAACUGUGAAGAUCUGGCACAAGACAGAGUGGUAUAGUUUGGACAGUACUUUUCGAUGAUUUACUAGCCUGUGAGUCCAAGUAUAUGAAAGUCCUAGGGUGGUUUCAGUUUCUCCCACACAUCCAAAAUUAUAAUCAGUCCCUCUAAAGAAAAUACACAUUUCAGAACACCUUUCUCUGCACUCUGCCUUGUGGAGGAAUGUGCAUUAUUACACUUGAAAAUUGUUACCGAUAACCUUUUUUGGCAGCUCAAUAGGAAAGUUCGUUUUUAAACAUGGUAGUUUUGGAAAUCUUACAAGACUUUUACCUAGCACAUAAAUAUGUAUAAAUGUACAUAAAGACAAGCGAGUAAGCAUGACCUGGGGCAAUGGUCAGACCUUGUACUGUGCUUUUGGCUUUGGAAGUAGCAAGUGACCAGAAUCUGCCAGGCAGCAGGCUUUAAAAGACGCUCAUGAAGAAGACGCUGUCUCAGCUGUGGCCUUAGCACCAGCCAGCUCUCUGUACAUUUGCUAGCUUGUAGUUUUCUAAGAAAAUAAGAAGUGGAGGUCUGGUUUGUAACUUUCCUUGUACUCAACUCGGUAAGUCUUUUCC